UGUUCCAUAGUGAGGCCUCUGGACUUUGAAUCCAGGGUUCUGAGUUCAAAUCUCAGUGGGACAU
rnacentral:tRNA from 1 species